CUGGAACAUCUCAAAAGAUUUGCUUUCUCACCUUAUAAAAAGAGAGAUGUUAAACUAAUUAGGCUUAUUUGGUAUAUUAAAUUGCAUGGGAAGCAAUGUCAAAUAAGUGAUGAUAAGUCUUCUUUGGUUAUAUUGUAUAGGUGAAUAUUAUUAGUAUAAACGUUCUGGAAAUUAUGUAAAAUUUUGAUAUGUCCUGGUCAAACAUUAUCCCUUGUAAUUCUAGUCAUUAUCUUAAAAUGUUGUAUGUCAUAACAAUAACCACGUUUCUCUGUCAAUUGCAUUAUAAUGUUAUCUUUUGUCACUUAUAGACAAUUAUUGUUUUACUCUGAUGCUUUUGCAAAAAUGCUUCAUCUUCAAGAAGAUUCAUAGGAAGGACUUUUUGACAAGUACGGGUUUCUAAUAACUUUCAGAUUAUACCACUGAACUGGAUAUAAAGAAUAUAUUUUUUCUCCUAAGCCAACUAUGACAAUAACAAUUGGUAAAUUAUGGCUUUGUAAGCAUAAUUGAAACAUUUAUCUACUUCUCCGUACCUGAUCCCUCAAGAAUUCAGAAAUUUAGCUUAACUUUGGGAUCCCAUCUGUAUCACUGUAUCCUGAAAUUGGAGACCACUGUUGAAUUGGACUAACCUAUUCUUUAAGCCAAGAGACUGGCUCAAGGAGAUGGAGCAACCUACCAACUCAACUUCUGGAAUGUAAAACUUGUCAUGAAGUUUCAAAGGCAGGAGUAAAGGGGUUCAAAACUGCCUCCCCAAGAUAUGCCACUUUGGAAUGUGGACUAUUUUGAGCUAAAGGCAAUCGAGACCCUAAAGUCUCAAGAAAAAUUUUAUACCUUUUUGAAGAAUUUAAAUUGGGAGCUUUGACCAUAAUAAGAGUUAUUACAGAAAUAAACUUUUACGACCUGUCUGUAUGGCAGGGGAAAUCUCUAACUACUGAAUACUUGCUCUUUUUAUCAUUCUGUGAAUUACCUUCCUCCCCUCUGAAGACUCAGGCCCCUAAUCUAUCCCUUAGCUCAAGAUGGCAUAUAUACCUCAUUUUACCUUUCUCUCUCUAAAUCUCUCAUGUAUUAGGUAUUCCUAUAUGUAUGAAAUUAAAUAUGAUUUUC
rnacentral:lncRNA from 1 species